UACGUAGGGUGCAAGCGUUGUCCGGAAUUAUUGGGCGUAAAGAGCUCGUAGGCGGUCUGUCGCGUCGGCUGUGAAAACUCGGGGCUCAACCCCGAGCCUGCAGUCGAUACAGGCAGACUAGAGUGCUGUAGGGGAGACUGGAAUUCCUGGUGUAGCGGUGAAAUGCGCAGAUAUCAGGAGGAACACCGGUGGCGAAGGCGGGUCUCUGGGCAGUAACUGACGCUGAGGAGCGAAAGCGUGGGGAGCGAACAGG
rnacentral:rRNA from 1 species